CCCUAGUUCUAACCAUAAACUAUGCCUGCCAGCGAUCCGCCGGCGUUCCUCCGAUGACCCGGCGGGCAGCUUCCGGGAAACCAGAGCUUUUGGGUUCCGGGGGAAGUAUGGUUGCAAAGCUGAAACUUAAAGGAAUUGACGGAAGGGCACCACCAGGAGUGGAGCCUGCGGCUUAAUUUGACUCAACACGGGAAAACUCACCAGGCCCGGACACCGGAAGGAUUGACAGAUUGAGAGCUCUUUCUUGAUUCGGUGGGUGGUGGUGCAUGGCCGUUCUUAGUUGGUGGAGCGAUUUGUCUGGUUAAUUCCGAUAACGAACGAGACUCUAGCCUACUAACUAGACGUAUCCGGUAUCCACAAUCGUGCUACCGGCGAGCAAAUUUCUUCUUAGAGGGACAGGCGGCUUCUAGCCGCACGAGACUGAGCAAUAACAGGUCUGUGAUGCCCUUAGAUGUCCUGGGCCGCACGCGCGCUACACUGAAGGAAUCAGCGUGUCUUCCCUGUCCGAAAGGACCGGGUAACCCGCUGAACCUCCUUCGUGCUAGGGAUUGGGGCUUGCAAUUGUUCCCCAUGAACGAGGAAUUCCCAGUAAGCGCGAGUCAUAAGCUCGCGUUGAUUACGUCCCUGCCCUUUGUACACACCGCCCGUCGCUACUACCGAUUGAAUGAUUUAGUGAGGUCUUCGGACUGGUGCGCGGAGGUGGCUUCUGCUGCUUCCGAUGUUGUCGGAAAGAUGACCAAACUUGAUCAUUUAGAGGAAGUAAAAGUCGUAACAAGGUUUCCGUANGUGAAACCUGCCGA
rnacentral:rRNA from 1 species